rnacentral:rRNA from 1 species
GAAGCCCUACGGGGCGCAGCAGUGGGGAAUUUUGCGCAAUGGGGGAAACCCUGACGCAGCAACGCCGCGUGCGGGACGACGGCCCUCGGGUUGUAAACCGCUUUCAGUGGGGACGAUGGUGACGGUACCCACAGAAGAAGCUCCGGCUAACUACGUGCCAGCAGCCGCGGUAAUACGUAGGGAGCGAGCGUUAUCCGGAUUCAUUGGGCGUAAAGCGCGCGUAGGCGGCUGCCUAAGCGGUACCUCUAAUC